GGCCCGGUAGAUCAAUGGUGAGAUCACCUGCCUGUCACGCAGGAUGUUGCGGGUUCGAGUCCCGUUCGGGCCG
rnacentral:tRNA from 1 species